ACUAAUUCCAUGAAGUGGUUUUCAGGAUUAACUGAAACAAUAUAUUUAAAGCACUUUAAAAGAGAAUGUGCUCUUCAAACGUGAGGACCUAUAAGUCAUCAGCAGCUUCAGAAUUCCUCUCUUAAGUCAAAGAAAACAAAAUUCACAAUCAGAGAUUUGUCUAACCUUGUUCAUGGAUAAGGAUGUACAGCAAUGAUCUGUCAAUCCACUUUGCUGGCUACCAAAUCAAGCAACUUCGGCUCACUGUACAGUGUGCAACGGCACCGAGAAUGAUCAUGUUAUGGGUUCUGAAGUAUCAAAAAUGGCUUCUAGCAGCCAGUCUCCAGCGAGGCCCUGGGGAGUGAUAAAACCUGAAUUAUUCACAACAAUUAGUAUGAGCAUUG